rnacentral:rRNA from 11 species
UCGGCGCAGGGUGAGUCGGCCCCUAAGGCGAGACCGAAAGGUGUAGUCGAUGGGAAACGGGUUAAUAUUCCCGUACCUUGGAUAGCUGCGAUGGAGAGACGGAGAAGGCUAGGUGAGCCGGGCGACGGUUGUCCCGGUUUAAGCGAGUAGGGAGUGGACUUAGGCAAAUCCGGGUCCACAAUCUCGAGACGCGACGACGACUGCUCUUAGAGCGGGAAGUCAUUGAUGCCAUGCUUCCAGGAAAAUCUUCUAAGCUUCAGGCUAUUCGAGACCGUACCCCAAACCGACACAGGUGGUCAGGUAGAGAAUACCAAGGCGCUUGAGAGAACUCGG